rnacentral:rRNA from 1 species
AGUAACGCGUGGGUAACCUGCCUCAUACAGGGGGGUAACAGUUAGAAAUGGCUGCUAAUACCGCAUAAGCGCACAGUACUGCAUGGUACAGUGUGAAAAACUCUGGUGGUAUGAGAUGGACCCGCGUCUGAUUAGCUAGUUGGUGAGGUAAGGGCUCACCAAGGCAACGAUCAGUAGCCGACCUGAGAGGGUGAACGGCCACAUUGGGACUGAGACACGGCCCAAACUCCUACGGAAGGCAGCAG